UCCAGAAUUCCCAUUGAUUUGUGGCCUCCGUGCCCAUUUCCAUGCACAGUUGUGUGUCUGCACACCCUGGGAUCCAGCAUGUGCAGAGCAGCCUGUGAUGGACACACACAGGGCUUUUUUAGGGUCUGGAGACCCAGUGUGAGAUCCAGGACCCAGAAUUCCCUCUGGGAUCCAGCAGGAAUUGUGUUCCAUGCUUUUUUAGGGUCUGGAGACCCAGUGUCAGAUCCAGGACCCAGAAUUCCCACUGGGAUCCAGCAGAAUUGCGUUCCAUGCUUUUUUUUAGGGUCUGAAAACCCAGUGUCAGAUCCAGGACCCAGAAUUCCCUCUGGGAUCCAGCAGGAAUUGUUUUUCAUGCUUUUUUUAGGGUCUGGAGACCCAGUGUCAGAUCCAGGACCCAGAAUUCCCACUGGGAUCCAGCAGGAAUUGUUUUUC
rnacentral:lncRNA from 1 species